UACGUAGGGUGCGAGCGUUACUCGGAAUUACUGGGCGUAAAGCGUGCGCAGGCGGUUUUGUAAGUCAUGGGUGAAAUCCCCGGGCUUAACCUGGGAACUGCGUUUGAAACUACAAGGCUAGAGUGUGGCAGAGGGGGGUGGAAUUCCACGUGUAGCAGUGAAAUGCGUAGAUAUGCGGAGGAACACCGAUGGCGAAGGCAAUCCCCUGGACCUGUACUGACGCUCAUGCACGAAAGCGUGGGGAGCAAACAGG
rnacentral:rRNA from 1 species